rnacentral:rRNA from 1 species
UACGGGGGGAGCAAGCGUUGUUCGGAUUUACUGGGCGUAAAGGGCGGGUAGGCGGCCACCGCAAGUCAGUUGUGAAAUCUCUGGGCUUAACCCAGAAAGGUCAACUGAUACUGCGGGGCUAGAGUGCAGAAGGGGCAACUGGAAUUCUCGGUGUAUCGGUGAAAUGCGUAGAUAUCGAGAGGAACACCUGCGGCGAAGGCGGGUUGCUGGGCUGACACUGACGCUGAACUGCGAAAGCUAGGGGAGCGAACGGG